UACGUAGGCAGCAAGCGUUGUUCGGAAUUACUGGGCGUAAAGGGUGCGUAGGCGGCUUGUCGCGUCUGCUGUGAAAACUCGGGGCUUAACUCCGGGCCUGCAGUGGGUACGGGCAGACUAGAAUGCGGUAGGGGAGACUGGAAUUCCUGGUGUAGCGGUGAAAUGCGCAGAUAUCAGGAGGAACACCGGUGGCGAAGGCGGGUCUCUGGGCCGUAACUGACGCUGAGGAGCGAAAGCGUGGGGAGCGAACAGG
rnacentral:rRNA from 1 species